rnacentral:rRNA from 1 species
UACGUAGGCAGCGAGCGUUGUUCGGAGUUACUGGGCGUAAAGAGUGCGUAGGCGGUUUCUAAGUUUGGUGUGAAAUCUCCCGCUUAACUGGGAGGGUGCGCCGAAGACUGGAAGGCUUGAGUAUGGGGAGAGGUAAGCGGAAUUCCUGGUGUAGCGGUGAAAUGCGUAGAUAUCAGGAGGGAACACCUGCGGUGUAGACGGCUUACUGGACCAUCACUGACGCUUGAGGGCACGAAAAGCGUGGGGUAGCAA